CACUUAUUUUUCUUCCUGUUUUUAUUUGUCUUUAAAAACACGUCGCAUGCGCCCGGAGCACCAAAGGCGUUGCAUGUCUUCACGAGGUAACGUUCAACAUUUAGGAUUACUUGUGCAAAGGAAAAGCCACCAUGAUGCUUUAUAAGGGAUUUCUCCUUUUCCUGUUGGCUGCUCCUGGAGACGUUGCUUCAUUAUCUUGUUAUUCGUGCGACAACGUUGACAGUUUAGAUAGUUGUAAAACUAUAACAACAUGCGGGAAAAGAGAAGUAAUAAUAUAUUUUCAUCUUAAUAUAUAUGGCCCUUUAGUAUAUGCGC